AAGAGAGUGAAGGAGCUUCCAUCAGCCCACUUAUGCAUAUGAGAAAGAUUGGGGUUACUAAAUUAACUGUUGACUCAUUCAUACAUUAAUUAAUUGUGUGAAUGAAGAAUGAGAUAUUAAUUUUGAAACCCUCUUUCUCAGUGCCUUGGACUGAAGGGAGCUCCUUCUUUCUGUUGC
rfam:Lupinus angustifolius cultivar Tanjil chromosome LG02, whole genome shotgun sequence.